rnacentral:lncRNA from 1 species
AGAAAAUAAUACCAAGCCCAACCUCUUUCUUCUAAUCAACCGCCCAGACCCAUGACUCAAACCAAACAUUACCCGACCCAUUCUCAAAUAUACACGCUAAUUCAAUCAUACAGAGACUCCUAGAGCCCUAGAUCCCAGACAAACACUGUUCAAUCGUCGUUCUCACUCGAACGAAGCCCCAAUUUAGUCCAAAUUCAGGCGAGUGAAUCCCAAAUCCUUAACCCACGCGUCCUUUCUUCUCUCAUCUUGCCGUUGCUAACAAUUUCUGACGCCAAGAUUCCCCUCUCCUCGCACUCGCUCGAAUUUGUGCUAUAUCUCACAAUUGGAAGGUUGCGGAGACGAUAUGUUGGAUGAGUGUGAAGCGUUGGAUUAAUUUUACUCAAUCAGAGCCCCAAAUUCAUCAGGGAUUCGUCUUCAAAAGGAGCCUUAUCCAAUUUUGAAAAGGGGAGGCUGGGAAAAAUUUAGAGGGAGAGAGUUGAAAGUUUUCUUUAACUUUUGGGUUUCUGAUUUUAUUUUCUGUUUUGAGGAGUUCUUUCAAAUUCUAAAAGAAAACAUAUAUACAAUCUUUUUAAUUUUUUGAAUCCGGAUUUGAGUUCCAAGGAGAUAAAAUUUGAAGUUCAAGCUUGGUUUUCUACUGUCGUCUUGCUAAUUUGCUGCUGAACCUCACUAGGAUUUGGAAUUGAGAGGUUUAUUGUCGAGUCUAUAAUUGUUAUAAAGGAUAUUUGCAAUUUCAGGUUCAAUUUUCCUCUCUUUUAUUCUACACGACUCUGUUUUUGUUUCGUGCUUUUGAGCUAUGAGAUUCAGUCUAGAGUGAUCUGUUUGUGUUAUGAUCGAAUUUUUUGUUGAAUGGAUCUUUCUCAGUAGUGGUAUGUUCUUGAGUAUAUAUCAUCAAUAAGAGUUGAUUUGAGUAGUCUUCUUUCCAUUUUCUAUAUGUCGUGACUGUUAUUCAGGCUCGAAGUAAAUUCUGAAUCAAGGUGUCAUCGCUUUUAAACGAACGAUGAGUUCAGCUUUGAAAAUCACGAGCGAGCAUGAAACUAUGAGGUUACUUCUCAUUAUGUGUGCUUUCCGAACUUUAAAUGACCUGUUUCUGUGAACUCUUUUUGUUUAUCAGAUUUUGUUUCUAAACUUAAAAUUCAAAGAAUUGUUUAGUUUUUUCGUUACUUUGAACUCACGUCGAUAGUAUGUGCUCUUCAUGGCUUACCAAAUUGAGAUGACCAUCGAAGUUCAUGUUUCUAGCAGUCAUUUCUGCCCGUUGAACUUCUUAGAACAGAAUUUAAUAUGAAACUUGUUUGCAGUGUGUUCUGUUGUCCUUGAAAUUAGUUUGUAUUUUAUAGCCUCUCCCGAAUCAUUUGGCCUGUUGAAGCAUAAAUGAUGAGAUUCCAUUCCCUGUUUAAAUGGUUAAAUGCUUUGUUCUAAUCGAUGGAUGAGGCAUGCUGUUUUAUUUUGGCUUUGUUUUAUAAAAAUUGGAGGUGUCUAGCUCGAGAUAGCGACUGAGUCACAAGUUUGAAAUCAGGGAAAGUUUUCGUUAACUGCCAUAUUGAAAGUAUAAGUGUGCAUUUUCGAAUCCUUGUUUAUGGAUCUAUGUCGACUUGUGAAAGAGAUAAAUAAGUUGGUUUAACGAGGCAAUGAGUUUAGAGACGGAUUGCUAGAUGAAAAUCCAAAUUGUGCUUGGGUUAACUUUGAUUGUUUGAUAGUUCUUGUGUAGAGUGAUAACAAGUUGAAUGUGAUGAAGCUUGACGACAUGGGCCUAAACAAUGUUAAGUGUUUUGUUUCCUCGAAGUUGUGAAUUUACAUAUUAAACAAAAUCUUUUUAGUUGCUGUGUGACCUCCUUGCUGCUAUAGAUCUUCUUUUCCUAUUCUUUGGUUGUAUUCUUCAUCAGGUUGUAUUUUCCAUUUGGCUAUCACUAAGGCACAUGCACACCAUGAACACGAAUUACAAUGAUAGAGAUAAAAUAAUUGGAUUUUUUUCGAGCAUAGUUGCUGUGUUGUCUUGCCUUUUCCUCCUUGCUUGAAGUCUCUCUUUUGGGUAUGGUCUCAUGAUUUUCUUGAUGAAUUCUUCUAACUUUGUUUAACUAAGUUGUAAAUUAUUCUUCAUGUGAUUAUGGUCCUCAUUUUUAAAAACUUGUAUGUGUUGGAGCUUCGUUAAGUAAAUAUAUGAAAUGGCGAUUCUGCGGCGCAAAUCCACCCGUCAUAAUGUCGACUAAGUCAUCCACUUUUGGGUGUCAUAUGUUUAUAAUUAAGUUCAGUUUGGAUCUUUGCAUGCUCUUAUUUUGUCCAUUCCUUGUCCCAGGUUCAUUAAGAAGAUCUCUAUAUAGUUUGGUCCUUUUUUUGCUUAGAUGGUCAUUUGUAAAGCUUUUGCUAUUUUGUUGGAAGAUUAUGUCAGUUUCAUUCUUAUGCCUAAAUACAAAGUUAGUUAAUGGAUGCAGAUAUUCGGGUGCUACAGUAUAAGUUCAUUUUCUGAUAGUCAUUCGAAAAUCAGAGACCCCAAUGUUUAAACAAGAUAUUAGUUGGUUCGAGUUAAAAAUCUGAUUAAUUAAUAAACAUCCGUUGUUUGCUUUAGUUGAGUACAAUCCUUUAAAAUUAGAACCGAGGCGUGUCAACAAAUUUUCAUGCCCUCGCAAAGUUAAAACACGUAGUUAUCUUAGACACGUUUUAAUAAUUUACCUUCCUAAACUCGGGUGCACAUUUAUGUGACCCAAAUCCAAAUCUCAACAAUGUUAAAAUAUGUCAAGGACCGUGGGUGCAUUUAUGUGACGUGGUUCAAGACGUGUUUUAAUAACGUUGCAAUCUUCCCAAAAAAUGCACAUAGGUUUGACAUGUAGUAAAAUCAGAUAAUUAGGCCAAUUACGACAGUUGAAUGACCGUGCUAGAACCACGAAACUUGGAAUGCCUAACACCUUCUCUCGGGUUAAUAAAAAUCCUUACCUAGAUUUUUGGUUCGCAAACUGUAAUAUAGAGUCAACCCUUUCCUCGAUUCAGGAUUUAAACCGGUGACUUGGGACACCAUUAAUUAUCCCAAGUGGCGACUNNNNNNNNNNNNNNNNNNNNNNNNNNNNNNNNNNNNNNNNNNNNNNNNNNNNNNNNNNNNNNNNNNNNNNNNNNNNNNNNNNNNNNNNNNNNNNNNNNNNNNNNNNNNNNNNNNNNNNNNAUUUAAAUAAAUAAAUCCCGUUUCGAUUGUCCUUUAAUUGGAAAAACUCUCUUAUCUACGCCCUUCGCCGGGUGUAGUGUAAAAAGGAGGUGUGACAAGGGGAAUUUUAAUCAUUUUACCUAAUUUCGCAUAUUAGCUUAUAAGUUUUUUGUAGAAUCAGUUAUGUGAAGUGUUAUUCAUAUUAUGCAAUUAAAUUGUAUAGAUUUGGGCAAUUUGGAGUUGAGUACCGUGGCAAGAACGUGGUUUCGGGUUGAUUUUGAGCCGGUUCGAGGUAAGUAUCUUGCCUAACCUAUGUGAGAAACUUUUCCUUAGAAUUUGAGUCUGCUAUAUUGAUUGCAGUUCGUGUAUGUGAGGUGAAAAGUGUGUGCUCGGACUUAUUUGUGGAAAACAUUAGCCAUUUAGGGGUUUUAGGUCCUUACAUUCACUGUGCAUGAAUGUGUACUUGAUAUGCUUGAGUUUUCCACUUACUUGUUUCACCUCUACAUGCUCAUGAUUCAUUCUUAUUGCCUACUUGACUCUUAUUUGUUUAACUGAAUAUUUUUCCUCUUCUAUUGUCAUGCUAUCCUUCAUAACUGCUCGUCUUUAUUGGAAAUCAUUUUUAUCUCUCCUGUAAUUGGUUGGUCACGAUUGAGGUGAUGAUUAUCUUCAUGAUGCCCAUCCUUAAUUGAAAUUAUUGUAAAUCUUCAUAAAUUUCCCAAGCUUAAAAGAAGUUUAGAUAACCUAUAUUUAGUCGACAUUUCCUUGUUUGGAAUUAUUUGAUUCAUAUUAUCUUCCUUGUUGUUGAAUUAUAUAUUAUGGGCUCGUUGCUCCAUAUUCUUUUCUUCCCUGUUGAGUUGUUAUCCCUCUUUUCUAUUGUGGUUAUUCUGUGUGAGCUAGUUUUAGCGUCUCCUUGUGAUCAAAAGUUAUUGAGUUGAUUUAUUUGUCGUGUUCUAGUCAAUAUUGUCAUUGUUGUUCUUGUACUUGUUGUGGUGGUGCACGAGGUUUUUGCCGUGCAGUUGUUAAUAUUGUGAUGCACGAAGUUUCUGCCGUGCGGCUGUUGUUAUGGGGUUGCACGAGGUUUCUAUCGUGCUAUUGCUACUAUUGAUAUAUUGCACAUGUAGCGUGGCAAGGUGGGGUAUGUAUGUACAUAUAUAUAUAAUUCUUCUAACUUUGUUUAANNNNNNNNNNNNNNNNNNNNNNNNNNNNNNNNNNNNNNNNNNNNNNUAUAUAUAUAUAUAUAUAUAUAUACACACACACACACACACACACACACACACUUAUAUGUGGGUUGCGUAUAUCACGAGAAAAGGUGAGACCAUUAUGAUACACGUGUGGCGAAAUAAGGUGGGCACAUAUUAUGUUAUUAUUUGCACACGUGGCAAGAUAAGGUGGACUAUGUCAAGGAUUGGUUAUGAGGAUUUGUGAUGUCCUGGGGGCGUUCUUGUUGUUUAAUAUUUUAUUGUGGUAUGCUUACCUUUUUGAGCAUUAUCUCGUGAAAGUGGUGAGGAAACAUCUUACGUGAUGUCCGUUAUUUCCUUACGCUUAUUAGCUGGUAGGAACUAUGUUAAAGCACUUGCACAAGCAUACACAUAGUUGAAUACCCCUAUUGGAUGUGAAGACCUCCUGAUUUUAUUGAGUAUAAAUGUACACCCUUGUUUACUUGUUAUAUAUGUGAGAGUGGCUCUAGUUAGCAAGUAAGUUGUCACCAUGACCAUGAGGUUGAUGAUGGGCACAGGAUACCAAGUGUUAGAUUUCAGGUACUGAGACUCGUGAGGUGUAAUUUAUCUGAGAUUCGAUACUUCAUGGAAAUUGUUGGAUAAAACCUGAUGUGAACGUUGUCGUAUGAUCUAAGUUACUUACCUUUAUUACGUUGUGACUUUAGGAUUUGGGUUUGUGUUUUUGCUCGCUCUUCUAUGUCAUUAUUCUUAGUAUUUUUGUUGUUACUUGCUAUUUUCUUCCCUUAUUGUGAUUGUAGUAUUGUUAACCAUUUCAUGUAGUCUUCCCUUGCUAUAUAUAUAUAUAUAUAUAUAUAUAUAUAUAUAUAUAUAUUCGCAUUUGCGAACUAUAUAUAUAUAUAUAUAUAUAUAUAUAUAAUGUUCCGUUGUUCCUAUAUUUGUACAGUUUAUUGGACCGGUAGGUGUCUUGAUUGUUCCUUGUUACUACUCCAUCGAGGUUAGUCUUAAUACUUACUGGGUUCCGUCGUGAUGUGCUCAUGCUACUCUUCUGCAUAUUUUUGUUGUGCAGAUCCGGAUACUUCCACUCAGUCUUAUCAUCAUUGAGGCGAGGUGCUUCUGUAGAGACUUUGAGGCAUAUCUGCCGCAUCUGCAGACCGAGGAGUCCCUUUCUACCUUUCUGUAAUAGUAUAGCCCUUCAGUAGUUUCCCUUUUGUUAGACAUUUAUGGAGUUAGAGUUUCUUAUAUAUCUCUUAACAUGUGAUUCAUGGGGUUCCAAAUUUGGGAGUGUUAAGUUAAGAUUUUGUACUGUCAUGUGCC